rnacentral:rRNA from 1 species
AUGGGAGCUUUCCCUUCACCGCCCCCAUGGGGGUGGUCCACAGGGUUCAUAACUACCCCUCUUACUACGGGGCGUUUACCUAGCCAACACUUAGAUCCGGCUCUACCCAAACUUUUUUGGUUCACCCCAACAUUACCCACUUGUCCGACUGUUGCUAAGCAGUUUUGGGAUACUAAACGGACCUCCCCAGAUGGUAAUCUUAAAGUGGCCGAUUUACCCUCUUUUGCAAUGAGUUUCGCUACAGCACCUGCUGCUCUAGCUAAUUGCCCACCCCUUCCACGUGUGAUUUCUAUGUUAUGCAUGGCCGUGCCUAAGGGCAUAUCGGUUGAAGGGCGCUUCCGGUUCUGUGCGUGCUUCAAACAAUUUUGUCUUCUCCAUAUUACCAUAUCUCUAGAGCCAAUAAUUUUCUAUGAGGAACUACUGAACUCAAUCACUUGCUGCCGUAGGGCAUUUCCCAUUGAUAUAGGAACUUUUGUACCAGAAACAAUAGUAUCUCCAAUUAUAGCCCCUCUGGGAUGUAAAAUAUAUCUCUUCUCACCAUCCCCAUAG